GACGAACGCUGGCGGCGUGCUUAACACAUGCAAGUCGAACGGUGACCUCGGAGCUUGCUCCGGGCGAUCAGUGGCGAACGGGUGAGUAACACGUGAGUAACCUGCCCCAGACUCUGGGAUAACCCCGGGAAACCGGAGCUAAUACCGGAUAUGACGCGAAGAGGCAUCUCUAUCGCGUGGAAAGUUCUUCGGUCUGGGAUGGACUCGCGGCCUAUCAGCUUGUUGGUGGGGUAACGGCCCACCAAGGCGACGACGGGUAGCCGGCCUGAGAGGGCGA
rnacentral:rRNA from 1 species